rnacentral:lncRNA from 1 species
CCAUAACUUUGCUAUCACAUGAUUCAAUUAUGUAGUUUUAAAAGUCUGAAUUAGCUAUUUAUUUUCUAAUGUUUCACUUAGGUAUGCCACUGCUCCACAUAGGAAUUCAGUUCCAUUUUGACAGCAACUUAAUAACAGAAUCUUCAGAGAAAUAAGUCCUACCUCAAGCUAAUAAGGGAUAUAUUAAGAGGAAGGAAAGGUCUGCACCUGCUUCCACAUCUUCCAUGUUUUCCAAGAGCAGCAGAAAAUGAGUAAAUCCCUGAAGAAGUCAAUGAAACCAAAGGACACAAAGCCCAUCUGAGAGGAGGGAAGCAUGGGCACAUCCCAUCCCUGCAGAGACUGGAGCCGAAGCUGCAUCUGACAGCUUUGUACCUUCACCAAUGUCGCAUUUUCUUCUGCCUCUGGAUUCCCAAGAGAGACGCCCAAUUCAGCUACCUGGCUAGUGACAUGGAGAAGGAUAACCAGGCUCCUACACAAGACAUCUUUAGUUUCUUCUGUGGGAAGAGCUAUACCCAGCAUCCCUUGUUCCACAGACCAUGCUACCAAUCAUCUGUUCCAUGAGCUGGAAAUGCAAGUUUCCAUGGAGGAGUGUGUGAAGGUGGGUGCAGCCGUGUGUGCUUGUAGAGAGGGAUGGGCUGGAUAGGACAGACAUGGGAAAG